ensembl:snRNA U6 U6 spliceosomal RNA
GUGCUCGCUUCAGCAGCACUUACACUAAAAUUGGAACGAUACAGAGAAGAUUAGCAUCGCCUCUGCUCAAGGAUAACAUGCAAAUUUGUGGCGCGUGCCAUAUUGUU